rnacentral:rRNA from 1 species
AGAGUUUGAUCCUGGCUCAGAACGAACGCUGGCGGNAGGCUUAACACAUGCAAGUCGCGCGGGCGGGGGCUUCGGCUCCCAUCAGCGGCGGACGGGUGAGAAACGCGUAGGAACGUGUCCUGAGGUGGGGGACAACCCUGGGAAACCGGGGCUAAUACCGCAUGACCCCCGCGGNGGAAAGCAGCGAUGCGCCUUGGGAGCGGCCUGCGUCCGAUUAGCUAGUUGGCGGGGUAACGGCCCACCAAGGCUGCGAUCGGUAGCUGGUCUGAGAGGACGACCAGCCACACUGGGACUGAGACACGGGCCCGACUCCUACGGGAGGCAGCAGUAAGGAAUAUUGGUCAAUGGAGGCAACUCUGAACCAGCCAUGCCGCGUGAAGGAUGAAGGUCCUCUGGAUUGUAAACUUCUUUUAUGUGGGAAGAAACCGAUGCAAUCUUGUGUCGUUGACGGUACCAUAGGAAUAAGCACCGGCUAACUCCGUGCCAGCAGCCGCGGUAAUACGGAGGGUGCGAGCGUUAUCCGGAUUCACUGGGUUUAAAGGGUGCGUAGGUGGGAAUGUAAGUCAGUGGUGAAAUCUCUUGAGCUUAACUCAGAAACUGCCAUUGAUACUAUGUUUCUUGAAUUUUCUGGAGGUCAGCGGAAUAUGUCAUGUAGCGGUGAAAUGCUUAGAUAUGACAUAGAACACCAAUUGCGAAGGCAGCUGGCUACAGGGAUAUUGACACUGAGGCACGAAAGCGUGGGGAUCAAACAGGAUUAGAUACCCCGGUAGUCC